rnacentral:rRNA from 1 species
CAAUAGCGUAUAUUAAAGUUGUUGCAGUUAAAAAGCUCGUAGUUGAAUUUCUGGCAGGAGCGACCGGUCACACACUCUGUGUGUGAACUUGUGUUGUCUCUGGCCAUCCUUGGGGAGAUCCUGUUUGGCAUUAAGUUGUCGGGCAGGGGACAUCCAUCGUUUACUGUGAAAAAAUUAGAGUGUUUAAAGCAGGCUUAUGCCGUUGAAUAUAUUAGCAUGGAAUAAUAAGAUAGGACUUCGGAACUAUUUUGUUGGUUUGCGUUACGAAGUAAUGAUUAAUAGGGACAGUUGGGGGUAUUCGUAUUUCGUUGUCAGAGGUGAAAUUCUUGGAUUUCCGAAAGACGAACUACUGCGAAAGCAUUUACCAAGGAUGUUUUCAUUAA